UUCGCAAAAAAAAAAAAACGAAACGAAUUGACUUAAAAGGAUUCGAAUAGAAUGGGUAGUGACUACUGUUAACCUACAGGAUAUUUUAAUGUGGAGAAUGAUUAUAACUUGAUAAAAAUUAAACUGGGGUGUGACGGGGCGUUGCCUGGGCGAAUGUGAAAAUCACCCCGAAAUCGUGGAAAAAGAGGUGAAUUUAAAAUUGUGUGGCUUGAUUUUUCAUCCCACCCCUAUAUCUCUAUUGGUAGGUAGGUAACCUACUUUCAAAGCCGUGUGCAAGAGAAACUGCAAUGUGCAGUGAUGAAGGAGGCAAAGGGGAGGAUUACCGAAAGAUCAAUAACUAUAUGCACUUGUUUCCCAUGUUCAUCCAUUUUACUCUUCUCUAGAUGAUCAUAUCAACGGUCACUCCCUAGUUGUCUAGGAUUUCGAACAGUUUGAAGUACACGUACAAUUGCACAUGCUGACCUAGUUUAAACAAAAUUUGGAAUAAUAAUUCAUUGCCAUGGGGCUAUUUAAAUCCACGAAGAAGAUUUCAGAGGGUGGGGAAAGCUGGAGAAGAGAAAAAAAAUCUUUCUGGCAGUCCGACCAAGUGAAAGGCACUAACUUUCUACACACCCAGCGCCAUCUGUUAUCUCAUGAUAAAAUCCACGAGAAUUUAAUUAUCGUUGAGAGAAUUUAAUGAUUGAUCGACCUCGAGAAUGCCGCCCAGGGAUGGUACGAUGUCUCACGGAUCUAACUGUACAGUUCACCGAAUUGAAGAGAGACAACAAAUUAGUAGAACAACACUAGCGUAGUUUAAAGCACACGGUGAAUGUUCUAGAAAUGAGGCCAAGGCGGAAGUCGCCAAUUCUACUGACCGAGCUGUUAACAUGGGACCUCUUCUGCUAGUAAGAGCACGUGUUUCAGACGUGUCCCAUAAUUUCAAUCACUCCUUAUCACCAGGCCAUAUCACACUAGUCGACACCGAAUUCCAAUCAUAUUCCAAAAUCGACAAAAACACACGUGCAGAAAAAUCAAGAAGAUAAAAUCAUACUCAACAUAUGUACAGAUAAACCGCCUGUACAAUGCCAUUCAUACAUUUUAACUAGUUAUUAGAUCUUCAUUGUUCAACUUCCCGCUUUAUCGAGUAGUUAUUGCAAAUGACCUCGAAAAUAGAAUGUCGUUUUCAAUUUUUAAUAAAUAUUCAAGACAUCUUUGUGAGUGCACCGACUCAGGCUACUUUAUAAAUAAAAAAAUUGAACUUUACCAUCAGAUAUUGUGUGCAAAAGCCAAAAGGUAUGAUUAGAAUUGUUAUCAGUCCUCGUAAAAUAUGAAUUCAAAUAAUAAUAAUGAUGACAGAAAUUGGAAUAAAAAUAAACUGAACAGAGAAUGGAAUCUGAUGAGAAAGGUCAGCCGUGUAUUAAGUGCUUUCACUUGAUCCAAGAAUCAUGGUGCAUCUUUUAUUGGCAUUUCUCAGUUUCUAGUUUGCUAGAGUCAAACUGUAGAAAACCGGCAAUGUUCAGGACAAUACAGGUACUACGGAUUAAGGUGACUGGCAUUCCUUACGGUAUCUAAGCUGUUUGUUGAAUGGCUGUUCAGCACACCAUAAUGCACAGACACACACCCUUCAACAAUUUACUUCACUUAUUCUCCUCUCCCACUCCUUGCACCUCAGAACUUCAUCUUUCUCUUUAUCA